GACAGAGGCCUCAAGCGUUAGGCGGAACCACUGGGCUUAAAGCGUGUGUAGGCGGAUCGUUAAGUGUCUUGUGAAAUCCCACGGCUCACCCGUGGAACUGCUGGGCAUACUGGCGAUCUUGGGCCAACUAGGGGCAACUGGAACAAACGGUGGAGCGGUGAAAUGCGUAGAUAUCGUUUGGAACGCCAAUGGUGAAAACAGGUCGCUGGGGAUGAGCUGACGCUGAGACACGAAAGCCAGGGGAGCAAACGGG
rnacentral:rRNA from 1 species